rnacentral:lncRNA from 1 species
UUGUACCGGGCACUGUGGAUCUUUGCUUUAUAUAUAAAGUGGGGCGAAAGCCUUUUUCGGCAAAUAAUAAAAAAUCAGCAAAAAAAGACGCAUCAUAAAGAAAAACAGGCACCCCCCUCUUGCAGCUCCCCCAGUCACCGGUUGCAGCUCCCCGCGUCAAACAAUGUUGGAUGCAGCCCUCCGGCAAUGCGUCGACCUUGUAGCACAUCCAGGAGCUGGUUCCAACUAAUUGGGGCACUGGUUCCAGCAAAAACGGAGAUGCUCAACAAAAUCGAAUGGGGAUGGUAGCAAAAACGAAAGAGGGUUGUAGCAAAACAGAUGGGUGAAUCCAGCAAAAUAAGAACCUGGUUCCAGCAAACCCCUUGGUUUCAGAACAAACACACCGUCACCGUCGCCGAUUGCAGCUUGGCCAUCGGGAGAACGGACCUUGAGCCCUUGGCUGUUGUGGCCAUGGAGAGGGCGUGCAACCAGCUGCCGGCGGAGAAGGAAACGAACACGCCCAUGGCUGCGGGCGGCCGGCGAUCCACAAGGGAUUCAAACGAGGUGCAUCCAGCUGACGGCGGUCAUGGACGGCGAGCGCGUUCGCUAGCUGCAUGUGGAUGGGCAGGAAGACGCGGCUGCAUAGGUACAGAAGAUGAGUGUUGAAGGGAUAACAAAGAGAAGUUGCUGGUCGU